rnacentral:misc_RNA from 1 species
GUCUUUUGUUUUUGUAUUGGGGUAUGUUGUUGAAUGGUUGUAAAAAGGGGGUUGUUUUGUUUGUAAAAAAGGGCGACUCCUGUUCGGGCGAGCCCGAAAAAAAGUCGCCAAGUUGCACAAAGGGGUGUGGGUAAAAGUGAAAGAGUUCACUGAUGAUCCUUCCGCAGGUUCACCUACGGAAA